GGGGGUAUAGCUCAGUGGCAGAGCAUUUGCUUAGCACACUCAAGGUCCUGGGUUCAAUCCCUGGCACCUCCA
rnacentral:tRNA from 1 species